UGAAAAUAAAGAAAAAAAAUAAUGUCAUGGUUUAAGGAAUAAAAUAAAACAAAGUUUUACUAAUGAUAUAAAUAUUACUCUAAUAGAUUAUCUGGAGUGUGUGUGUGUGUGUGUGUGUGUGUGUGUGUGGUACUGGGGUUCGAACCUAGGGCCUUGGGCAUGUUAGGCAACUCUUCUACCAGUGAGUUUCAU
rnacentral:sRNA from 1 species